rnacentral:rRNA from 1 species
UACGUAGGGGGCAAGCGUUGUCCGGAUUUACUGGGUUUAAAGGGUGCGUAGGCGGGCAUGUAAGUCAGUGGUGAAAUACCGGAGCUUAACUUCGGAACUGCCAUUGAUACUAUAUGUCUUGAAUAUUGUGGAGGUAAGCGGAAUAUGUCAUGUAGCGGUGAAAUGCAUAGAUAUGACAUAGAACACCGAUUGCGGAGGCAGCUUGCUACGCAAAUAUUGACGCUGAGGCACGAAAGCGUGGGGAGCAAACAGG